CGGCCACAUUGGAACUGAGACACGGUCCAAACUCCUACGGGAGGCAGCAGUGGGGAAUAUUGCACAAUGGGCGAAAGCCUGAUGCAGCAACGCCGCGUGAGUGAUGAAGGCCUUCGGGUCGUAAAACUCUGUCCUCAAGGAAGAUAAUGACGGUACUUGAGGAGGAAGCCCCGGCUAACUACGUGCCAGCAGCCGCGGUAAUACGUAGGGGGCUAGCGUUAUCCGGAUUUACUGGGCGUAAAGGGUGCGUAGGCGGUCUUUCAAGUCAGGAGUGAAAGGCUACGGCUCAACCGUAGUAAGCUCUUGAAACUGGGAGACUUGAGUGCAGGAGAGGAGAGUGGAAUUCCUAGUGUAGCGGUGAAAUGCGUAGAUAUUAGGAGGAACACCAGUUGCGAAGGCGGCUCUCUGGACUGUAACUGACGCUGAGGCACGAAAGCGUGGGGAGCAAACAGGAUUAGAUACCCUGGUAGUCCACGCUGUAAACGAUGAGUAC
rnacentral:rRNA from 1 species